rnacentral:rRNA from 1 species
AGUCGAACGGUGAAGCCAAGCUUGCUUGGUGGAUCAGUGGCGAACGGGUGAGUAACACGUGAGCAACCUGCCCUGAACUCUGGGAUAAGCGCUGGAAACGGCGUCUAAUACUGGAUAUGAGCUGCGGAGGCAUCUUCGUGGUUGGAAAGAUUUUUCGGUUUGGGAUGGGCUCGCGGCCUAUCAGCUUGUUGGUGAGGUAAUGGCUCACCAAGGCGUCGACGGGUAGCCGGCCUGAGAGGGUGACCGGCCACACUGGGACUGAGACACGGCCCAGACUCCUACGGGAGGCAGCAGUGGGGAAUAUUGCACAAUGGGCGGAAGCCUGAUGCAGCAACGCCGCGUGAGGGAUGACGGCCUUCGGGUUGUAAACCUCUUUUAGCAGGGAAGAAGCGUGAGUGACGGUACCUGCAGAAAAAGCGCCGGCUAACUACGUGCCAGCAGCCGCGGUAAUACGUAGGGCGCAAGCGUUAUCCGGAAUUAUUGGGCGUAAAGAGCUCGUAGGCGGUUUGUCGCGUCUGCUGUGAAAACCCGAGGCUCAACCUCGGGCCUGCAGUGGGUACGGGCAGACUAGAGUGCGGUAGGGGAGAUUGGAAUUCCUGGUGUAGCGGUGGAAUGCGCAGAUAUCAGGAGGAACACCGAUGGCGAAGGCAGAUCUCUGGGCCGUAACUGACGCUGAGGAGCGAAAAGGGUGGGGAGCAAACAGGCUUAGAUACCCUGGUAGUCCACCCCGUAAACGUUGGGAACUAGUUGUGGGGUCCAUUCCACGGAUUCCGUGACGCAGCUAACGCAUUAAGUUCCCCGCCUGGGGAGUACGGCCGCAAGGCUAAAACUCAAAGGAAUUGACGGGGACCCGCACAAGCGGCGGAGCAUGCGGAUUAAUUCGAUGCAACGCGAAGAACCUUACCAAGGCUUGACAUACACGAGAACGCUGCAGAAAUGUAGAACUCUUUGGACACUCGUGAACAGGUGGUGCAUGGUUGUCGUCAGCUCGUGUCGUGAGAUGUUGGGUUAAGUCCCGCAACGAGCGCAACCCUCGUUCUAUGUUGCCAGCACGUAAUGGUGGGAACUCAUGGGAUACUGCCGGGGUCAACUCGGAGGAAGGUGGGGAUGACGUCAAAUCAUCAUGCCCCUUAUGUCUUGGGCUUCACGCAUGCUACAAUGGCCGGUACAAAGGGCUGCAAUACCGCGAGGUGGAGCGAAUCCCAAAAAGCCGGUCCCAGUUCGGAUUGAGGUCUGCAACUCGACCUCAUGAAGUCGGAGUCGCUAGUAAUCGCAGAUCAGCAACGCUGCGGUGAAUACGUUCCCGGGUCUUGUACACACCGCCCGUCAAGUCAUGAAAGUCGGUAACACCUGAAGCCGGUGGCCCAACCCUUGUGGAGGGAGCCGUCGAAGGUGGGAUCGGUAAUUAGGACUA